rnacentral:rRNA from 1 species
GACGAACGCUGGCGGCGUGCUUAACACAUGCAAGUCGAACGGAAAGGCCCUGCUUUUGUGGGGUGCUCGAGUGGCGAACGGGUGAGUAACACGUGAGUAACCUGCCCUUGACUUUGGGAUAACUUCAGGAAACUGGGGCUAAUACCGGAUAGGAGCUCCUGCUGCAUGGUGGGGGUUGGAAAGUUUCGGCGGUUGGGGAUGGACUCGCGGCUUAUCAGCUUGUUGGUGGGGUAGUGGCUUACCAAGGCUUUGACGGGUAGCCGGCCUGAGAGGGUGACCGGCCACAUUGGGACUGAGAUACGGCCCAGACUCCUACGGGAGGCAGCAGUGGGGAAUAUUGCACAAUGGGCGGAAGCCUGAUGCAGCACCGCCGCGUGCGGGAUGACGGCCUUCGGGUUGUAAACCGCUUUCGCCUGUGACGAAGCGUGAGUGACGGUAAUGGGUAAAGAAGCACCGGCUAACUACGCG